rnacentral:rRNA from 1 species
UGGGGAAUAUUGCACAAUGGGCGAAAGCCUGAUGCAGCAACGCCGCGUGAGUGAUGAAGGCCUUCGGGUUGUAAAGCUCUGUCUUUUGGGACGAUAAUGACGGUACCAAAGGAGGAAGCCACGGCUAACUACGUGCCAGCAGCCGCGGUAAUACGUAGGUGGCAAGCGUUGUCCGGAUUUACUGGGCGUAAAGGAUGCGUAGGCGGAUUUUUAAGUGAGAUGUGAAAACCCUAAGCUUAACUUGGGGACUGCAUUUCAUACUGGAAAUCUAGAGUGCGGGAGAGGAGAAUGGAAUUCCUAGUGUAGCGGUGAAAUGCGUAGAGAUUAGGAAGAACACCAGUGGCGAAGGCGAUUCUCUGGACCGUAACUGACGCUGAGGCAUGAAAAGCGUGGGUAGCAAACAGGGUUAGAUACCCUGGUAGUCCACGCCGUAAACGAUGAGUACUAGGUGUAGGAGGUAUCGACCCCUUCUGUGCCGCAGUUAACACAAUAAGUACUCCGCCUGGGAAGUACGAUCGCAAGAUUAAAACUCAAAGGAAUUGACGGGGUCAUAGCUGUUUCCU